rnacentral:rRNA from 1 species
AUGUGCCUUCCAAAAGAUAAAGGAGGUAUGGGGUUUCGGGACCUCCAUGCUUUUAAUUUAGACAUGCUAGCGAAACAAAGUUGGCGAAUGAUAAAGCAUCCGGACGCUCUUUGUGCUACUGUCUUAAGAGCAAAAUACUUUCCUGAUGGGAAUAUUUUAAAGGCAGGACCAAAAAAGGAUCAUCUUUUACGUGGCAGAGUAUCGUCGCUGGUCUGCAAACAUUCAGGAGAGGCCACAUUUGGAGAGUUGGUUCCGGUGAGAAAAUAA